UCUCUAGAAAUCUUUCUCUCUAGAACACCUGGUGUUCCUCUGGCUGAUGGACCAUUUCUCUCAGAUGCCUUUGCUAUUGCACAAUUGUUUUUCCCAUUACUAGUGGGCAAGAACUUGGAUGCCCAGUCCACCAGUGGCCCCUUCUGUCUGUGAUUGAGAGUGGCAAUUGUCCUUGCAAUAGUAAGAGAUACUUUGCAGUUACGCCUACUCUCUUUUCCUUAAUCGUGCAUCCUUCAGUCCCUUGAUUAAGCUGUUAUCAAAAGCAUAACGGUAUAUACAGACAGCAUGACACCCCACAAACCACCAAAAUAUACUGGAGCUUGUGAUAGUGGUCCUUCCCAUUCUUGGAGGAUUGUAUAAGGUCUUAGGAAUUCAAGUAAGUUAAAAAAACUAGUAGGCAAAUGGUUUAAAAGGGCAGAAUAAAUUCUUGAUGCAAGUAUGAAGGUUCAGGAAGUCUAUCAUGUCCUUCAUAGAGCUGUUAAUUCUUGUACUAUACUGAUCAUUCCUGUUAUACAUUGUUUUGUAAUCCAUCACCCUGCCCUUUUCAGAAACAGGGAUGAAAUGUUUGUUGUGAACAUAUGGAGCCACUAAUUUGGGGGCCACUGGUUGGCCUGUAGGAAGGAGGUAAAAGUCUGUGUAAACAAGGAGUGGACACGGACACUCUCUCCAGCCACAAUGCCCUGGGUCUCUGGAAUCAUCAACCCCCAGGCUCAGAGCUCCUCAUUUGCAGCAGGAUGAGACAUAGCUGAUGUAGCAAGCAACUACUUAGGAUAUUUUUUUCUGCAGAGCUGUGACAUCAUGGCUGGCAGCCCCCCAAGGCACCCUAUCCAAUUACCUGAGUCACCAGCAGUGAGAAAUUGCCAAGAGGUUGUCACUGAAUUCUGCUCUGGUAAACAUAAGAGCAGAGAAGGCCAAGAGAAAUGGCUGACAGCAGAGAAAGAGGGUGAGAGUGAGAGAGCAGCAGCAGCAGCAAAGGUCCUUAAUCAGGGAGAUGGAGAAAGAAACUCGAUUAUUGAGUGAUUGAUGCAAGAACCCUAGAAACAGUUGACAGGAGAAACAGUGAUUUUCUUUCUUUCAACCACAAUGCCUAUGUUCACACAAACACACACAGGUGCUUACAUCCUUGCUUAUAUAUGCUUGCUAAUGAAAAAAGACAUGUACAUACAACCACUCUUUACACACUGAAAAUAAAAAUACAUACUCCACCAUAAGCAUACAUAAGCAAAUACACCAUAGCAGAUGCACAUGCACACACACGUACACGCACAAACACUAAAAUCACUUUCAGUUGUGGAUGUUUAUUAUCACACAGUACAAACUCAUAAAUGUGUGCACCCAACCACAAUGAUGAUAAUAUCUGUAUAAACAUUAGCUGCUUAAUAACAUAGUAGUGUCUCUCAUUUGCUGCAUAGGGAGGGACCAAAGACAUUGGCCUAAAUUAUUCUGUCUGCUUUCACUAUGAGAGGAGACAAAACCUUGCAGAAUUCAGACAACGGGCACCAUUCCAGCUACGCAAACAGUAACCCCACUGUGGAGAGGGGGAUCUCUGUGAAAAGAGGAGAGAAUGAGUGUGGAUAGAAAUCCACACCAGCCCUGUAUAGUUUCUAUGGCUGGAAUACUCCUGAUUGAAACACUCAUAGCUUUGGUGAAGUCAUGCCCUUCCCUCUAAUGCCUGCUCUAUAUACCCCAAAUCCCAGAAAUGAGGUAACAUGGCCACCAUAGAAAAACAUGGGAAAUACAACUCACGCUGCUCUCAGGCUCUCUGUCUCAGGCAUGCUUACUGGCACAUGCUCAGAGCCUCUCAAAGUGGUUACACUGCCUCAUUACUGGGAUAUGGAUGCACAAAGUGAAAGGGGAAUAUGCUUUAUGGUAGCACUCCUGAGCUAAGCACAGGGUCAGUCCUUGUGCCUUCCUUGCCUGGAAUAACUAGCAAGGUAUAUGAUGUUCUGAAGCUGGCCCGUGGAACUUUUUGUUUCUAAAGUCAGGCCUCUGGAGGUUUAGUUAAUUAUUUCACCAGAAUUUCACAUACAUAUAGUAGCAAACAGAACUCCCUCCACAGCAGAGGGAAGAAAUAAGGGCUUGUAUUGCUUCAUGAACCAGCUGCUGAAGUGAUGGCUUUAAAUAACACAAAAGUAUCAAGGGCAUAGCAGGCAUAAAUAUACAAAAACACAGCCACGCACACACAGAAUGUCAAGUGUACAUAUAGCACACACAGUUACAUUCACAAAGAGACAGACGUAUGCAUACAUGUGUGCACACAGAAUUAAGACAAAGACAGAAUCAUAUAUGGACACAUAAAAAAGGAAUAAGCAGAGCCCAUAGACCAUGAAAAUAUAUAUCCACUCACAAAUACAUACACACACACACAAAUAUAUGUAUCAUAGUAUCAUGUGUACACACAAAAGCUAUUAAGAUGCAGAUGUGACUUCAUUAAUCUGUGCUGUUUUGCAGACCUCACUCCCUGGCUUUCAUGGGGGAUUUAGGUGAUAAAUGAGACCAUUUCAAAAUCUGGCAAAAUGCCGCUUUCCUCAGAGCUUACUACAUAUUGAAACUCUUAUAUAAUAUGUAAAGCAUGAAGGAUGGGAAGAAGGAAUGGACACAUGCUUGUGUGUGUGUGGGAGGGAGGUUGUGUGUGUAAUCUAUCACCUUCAGCCAGAAUUGCCAUGCGUAUGUAUAUUUAGUAUGUUCAUGCACAUAUGUUUGGAUCAGCACCUGAAAUCAUCUGGGAUGCUUGACCUGAUUUGUAGAUCAGGUGGCCAGAGACAAGGCCUUUGACUUACAUCCACCCCCACCCCAGUCUGCCAAACUUGAAAUCGAUGCCCUCAGGACUAACUACCAAAGCCAAUGAGGUUAAGUAGGGAUGAAGGCUCUAAUUUAUCAUGGAUGGGCAGAGGAUUUUUCCUGAAGUAAAUAUAUGCUAUUGGUAUGCAUGACCUUUGCUUUAUGUUAGUAAACUUUAUGUUAAUACAUUUGAGAAUUUGGAGAGGUGCAUGACAUGAAUGUAGUUAUAUACAGAGUGCUAUCCUGGGAGAUGUGGUAAGGUGAUAAUGUUAACCUGGUAAGACAUGUGAUAAAAUCACUGUGUGCACUUCUUUGAUUGUCCCACUCACAUUCUGCCUAGCACAGUGUGGGCCCUUGAAAAUAACAAAUAAUAAUAAUGAAUAAAUAAUCAACAGCAGAACUACCUCUAACAUAUCUGACUGUUGAACAGUUCACACAAGUGCCAUUUUAAAAAGUAAAUGUGCCAGAGAAAUGGUUCUUUCUUUCUACCUGAAUAAGGAAAUUUCUUUUCAGUUACCUGUCCCAAGAUCCAGCUGAAGUAAAAUUCAAUCCUGAACCAGCAGCAGUUUUAGUGUGAUAUUUCCUGCCCUAUAGAGCUGAAAAUGGGAGUUUUAUCCCACUGGACAGAAAUCAGCCAAGCAAUGAGGGCUGCGCUUUGUGGUAGUCAAGGAGAGCUAGUAUUAUUAUUUACUUAAAAAAUAAAAACUAAUUUUGGACACUCACUGACAAUUUUGAAAUAAGUGACCUAUGCAAGUGGCAGUUAUUACUGUUCCUAUUGUCUUUUCUUCUCCCUUAGGGAUAUUGUUUAUACUAAAUUUUGGAUGUGAGGUUGGAGAACAGGAAGGUAUACACAUGCCAGCUUUAAUCUAGUUAGCCAAGAUAACUGUAUCAGUGAAGUGGUGGUGUUAUGUAUCUAGCUCCUUGAGUGUGCACCAUAGCUUCCCAGUGGGCUCAUAGAGUCCAGGCAGAACCCUGUGCUACCACAUCUGUGCUGCCUGUAUUACUUGAGCAAUCUAGAAUAAAGCUAGCUUGUGUAUGCCUACCUACGCUACAGUCUCAUUUCCCAGAUGUAAGGUAGAUAUAGUCUCAGGCUAUAUCUGCUCUGUAAUCCCAGAAGUGACUACAGUAUGAUGCUGUGGUACCUAAGGAUGUUUUAAAGCAGCUAGCUUGGGUACCAGUAGCAAUCUAGUUAUAGCAGCAUGGAGUUCAACAUGGCUUUUUCACUCUGCUCAGAAAGGAGAACGUUUAAAGCUCUCCAAAGCAUGUCUCAAGUGACUGCUUGUAACAAUGCCAGUUUCAGAAAGAACACAUGAUUAUGCAGAUGGUGUAAGGAUGUUGUUGGAGAGGACCUAAUAACUCACCUAGAGACGUGUGGUCCAAUCCCUUGUACCAGCCCGGGUGACUCUUAUUUGAAUAGAGUUUCAUUUGGGAUUCAAACUGCUGAGUCUCACACCAGCUUCAUUUGCCCAGAGGAAAUCUGUAAUAUUUUAUACAUUCUCCCCAUGCCCCAUUUUGCCCAGUCUGCAGAGGAUGCUGGUUUGUUUACAGCCUUUAGCAUGAGUGCCUGUGCUUCUUUAAUUCAGUGUAUAGAGACUCAUGCUGUCCACUUUGGAGGUCACCACUUUAGUCCCUAAGGUAGGUCAAGAUGGCAGCUGUCAUGUGUGUGUAUGUAUGUUUGUGUGUGUGUAUACCCCUGUGUAUACAGAACUUUGGUGGUAAACAGUCAUACCUAAUAACCUGUGUGUGCAGAUGCACAUCCUGCUUUCAGCUUCAGUGAAUAUAGGAACAUGUAUCUUGUCUUAUGUUUUGUACCAUAAUGCUUUUCCCUGGCAACUGUAUCCAACACUUUUUAGUAAGGAGUGAUUUUAGUAAGGAAUGAAUUACAUAGCUGAAGCUGGGCUAUUCUCUUUUCUAUAGUUGUAAAAUAGGACAUGGGGUGUCUAACUGGGACUUGAGCUAUCAGAUUGCUAGGGAGGAAACAGCAGCACCAGGCAUUCAAAUGAAAUCUAGCCCUGGACCUGCAGAGACCAAAACAGGAAGUGAUUCCCCCUGGGCCUCCAUCCUCCCCACCCCCAACUCAUUUGGAGAGAGGCUGAGCUAGGACUGGAGGUUGUGCAGGGGGCUUGGGGACCCUGAGUGUGGAUAUACGUUCAGCAUUCUGUACACAGUCUGCUUCCUCCAUUGAGAGGUUGUAAAGCACAUGCCAGUGUCUGUGUUCACAGCACUACAGCAUGUAAGGCUGUGUGUGUACUGGCAGGGAGUAGUAAUGACACUCAUGGAGAAGAGUUUCCUUUCUUCUCUGCAAAAUCUCCUCUUCCCCUGCCUGCCCCUCCCCAUGUCCCAUGUCUUUUGGUAGCUCCUCAUCUGUGCAGAAUUUCAGGCACUUGGGGCUCCCAGGAGAGAGUGUCAUUUUCGUGUUAAAGAUGCUUAUUGAAUUUGACAAACAAUGAUUUAUGACAGGGCAACCCACAUGGGGCACAGUGAGGAAUCUCAGCUCCUCGUCACAGCCUGGGGACCUGUUUCAUUCCCGUCUCAGCUCCUUGCUGCCUCUCAUUGGAGCUCUGAGCAGAUCAGAUUCGACAGAUGCAGGGAGUUUAUUUCUUAGCAGAAAGAAAGGGACAAUGAGACAAUGGGAGCAGGGUGGGGAGUUCAUCUCAGGUGUCAGUCUCUGAUCCUGGGUGGUUCUUUCAGACCCGGUUGGAUGCUAAUCAGGUGACGUGGGCUGGAAUCCAGCUCUCUGGAGCUCUGCCCUGCCACAAGGAUAAUCUGGGUUCAGUUUGGAGGUUCUGUCUCCUGGCUUUUAGGCCAGUAGGAAGCUAGAGGUGUAACAUGAGUCAUCUGAGAGGCCCUGUGAUUAAUACAGUAAUUUGUCCUUCCAUGUAGGAGAGCUAAGUUCAGUGCCCUUGCCUAGUCUGACCCAGACUAACUGGGGCAGGAGUAUGAUGGACAUUAGGAUGUCCAACCCCUGGAAUGGGAAAGGGGUGCACAUUGAUCUCUGUCUAACCUAGAAACUACACUCAUAAAAGACUCAAGAUCUUCUCAUCUGAAGGAAGGGCUGCUUCAAUUAAAUGGGUGUCUGUGAAGCAGGAACUUAACUGGUACCACAUCUGUGUUCAAAGUGAGGCCAUUAGCACGGACUUUAUUGCCUCCCCAAGGUAGUGAAGGAGCAUUUUGUAUUUUAUUAUUAGACAGUGACAUAAUUUAAAGUGCAUCAAGAAUGAGGAUUAUGAGACAUUCAUUUUUCUGAAGAGAUUUUAAGCGCCACAUUUCCGUUAACAGGCCCCCAGAGACAAAGGAAAGGCAGUGGAUACUAAUGCUUGGAUCUGGGGACUGCAAUUCAGGACUCCCACAUUUUAUCCCUGCUGAUUUGUUGUGGAGACUUGGCCAAGUCAUUUCCCCUUUCUGUGCCCCAGUUUGCCCUUUGUAAAAGGGGGAGAAUGAUUCUCACAUGCCAAAAGGUAUUGUGAGGGUGAAUUAACUAAUUUGCUUUGAGUCCUAUAAUGGAAAAGCAAAGAGCACAGGAUUAUUAUUACAAAUGGAUUUUGGUACAUGGACCUGGCUGUGAGCCUGGCUAGACACACAUGUCAUGUUCUCAUGCAUGGCAGUGCGCCACUGGAAAGGCUAUGCCAGGUUUUCUCAAUGGGUGGCCUAACUCCAAUUAGAGAGAGACAAAAGGACUCUGAUAAGGGUGCUACCCCUUCUGGCCUAAGGGAGUAGCCAGUAUUCAGGAUCCAACAGGUUGUUUUUGUUAGAGAAAGAAACUGAGGACAGAGCCAGGGUUUCUUGGAUGGAAUCUUGUUUAUUUACAAAGAGGGCAUGCAAAGUCCCAUUUCCAUGGCCACAGCAGGAGUCCAACAGCAGGACACAGUUUAAAAGCCUCUUUUGAGCCAACACUCUACCCAGAAGCUCUCUUUUCUCAGCAUCCUACUACAAAUGCCUCCCUGGCAGUCUCUGGGUCUUCCUUGCUGACUUCUCUCCAUGCUUCCAGUUUUUUGGGUUUUUUUCCCCAUAAGCAGUUCUGCCAAAACCACCCAGUUUCAUGUGCUUGCAGUCUGGUUCGAAUCAAGUCCCCCUACUCACCCAAUUCAAAUUUCUUCAUGGCCUUGCAUGUAGCUUAUGUUUUGGGUGGUGGUUCCUGUUGUUGCAGUUACCUGUUCUAUAAAGGAACUUAUCUUAUAUCUAACAUUCAUUCUGAAUGAAGGACAUCUGUUUCUCCCCCCCUGCUCUGAGGGGGUUUUGCCCAGCUCCAGCAUAACAAAUGUAAAUAUCUCCCUAAUUCAUUCAGCUCCCUCCAAAUGCACCAGCUUUCCUGGUUGGUGGGAAAGGAAGAGGCCUAAAAUGCUUAGGGUGGCUAUGGAGUAGGAUAUGCUAUUUCAACAGUAGCAAACACCAAGCACCUUUUUGGGUUCCUGUUGGGAGAAUGCUGUAACCACUAGGAUUUCUGCCAGACCAGGCACAUUCUUUCUGGUGACAUACUUGCUCUGAACUGCAGGCAGAAAAUCUUCCUGGCUGGAUUUGACUGCAGGUCCACACUGACCUGAGGGUUGCAGAAUCCCCAGGGUGGCCAGCAGGAGAAACAAAAGUUCAGACAGCAGAGGUGUGUGCACAGAGACUCACUCUCCAGCAUCACACAUGUACACACACAGCAGGUGAACUCAACUAUUCAGCCAUGGGAAGAUGCACUUGGUUGGAUAGAGCAUAUAUAGGUACAGGCUUUAUGCCCAAAUUCUUGGUUGGACUGGAAGCACUGGGGGAAACUGGGGCUGCCAUCUGAGACAACACUGGCUACUGUAUUAGCUCUGUGGGGCUAGACUAGCCUAGAAAUCCGUAGCAGUUGUGUGAGGCCUGUCCAUAAACGGCUACAGAAGUCAAAGUACCUGAAGUGUCUCCUGUAAUACUGUGUCCUUUCAAUCCCAUUGUUUGGGGCAUAACUGCUGGAGCUAUUCUGAGAGCUUCUCACAUGACCACCAUGCCCUUGGAAAGUGUGUAUGCAAAGCAGUAUCUCCCUUCAUGUACCUCACCCAGAAAUUUGCAUUCCAAGAAACUCUCGCCUGUGAGAUACCGGAACCAUAGUCCUCUUUGGAGGUUCCUUCUAUAAUGUAGCUUGCAGUCACCAUUAAGGGAUUGCUGGGUUGUGAGCCAGAUACAGAUAGGCAAAGGAAGAUGAUAGGGUUUGUGCAAUCUGGAAAAUGGCCUCUCUACGGAGGGAGCUGGGAAUGUUCACUUUCCAAAGGCCUCCAGCCCCCUUACCCUGGGCCUCAGCAUGUCACUAGCUAUUCUCAGCCCUCUCUUUGUAGGAGGAUGGCUUUAAUAUUUGGGUUCAGUUACCUGUUACAGUUUACAAAGGUUCAUUUCAGUUUUGGCCUACAGCCUUACCUUGCUGUUUCAGUCUUACCACUCCCCCCUCCCUCUACCUCCAUUCUACCAUUGCAUCUGCAGCAUCUGCACUGUUGCUCUCCUGAGGCCCAUAGAGAACCCAACGAGUACACCUUGACCCUGUGCUGUGGCCCCCAGCUAUUUCUGUUCUGGCCCCCUCACAUUUCAGUUAGUGUUCCUCAUUUGUAGCCCCUUGCUAUUCUUGUCCCGGAAUCCCUCAAUCCUCUCUGAGACACACAGCCCUGCCCUGCAGCACUUCACUCAAUUCCAGCUCUUGGCUUCCACAUGCAAACACCAUCCAGAUGAACAUACUGUGUGGGUAGGUUCAUCCAGAAAUUUGGGCCCUACACUUGCUUGUGGGGAGCAGGGUGCAGGGACAUUUAGUUGAGAUGCCCCUUGAGAUUGCAAGGCACAGAAAGUGAGUCUUGGGGAAACUGUGAGCAGGCUUAUAUCAAGCCCUUGCUGUGGGAACGGCACAGGACUGGUGGUGGGUUGGUGAAAAGCCUGGAGGGAGACACUGUCUCCUGGCAGGCAUGCAGGCACAGAGGAGGGGUGUGGAGCAUGUGGCUCCCACAGAUGGAACCCGUUAGCCUGGAAUGUCUGUGAUGUGGUCUGAAGCAGUGUAAACAAGAGCCAUGAAUUAUCCAGCACCUUGUAAGCAGGACUGGAGAGGAUCCCCUCCUUCCCUCUCCUUUUUCCUAUCUCCCUCCCUCCUUUCACCUCCCCUUGCUUCCCCCAUAUCAUUAGUCUCCUUAUUUUGACAAAGCAGUUAGUGAAGCGGUGUUUUCCCCAGUCUUAACUCCUCCUGUCUGCACUGGGAUCCAUGGGAUGAGGGGAGGACUACAAUCUGUCUGCACCCUGAGAGGGACCUUGGUCUAAACUCAUAUGCUGCCUCUGAGCUAAAUCCAGCCCUGGGUAGGUAGGUACAACUCUCAUUGGCUCCCUAUGCACAGCAGUCUCCCAAAGCACAAGUGCCAACUGUUGAGACCCCAAACCCAACUGGCUUCCCUUAUUAUCCCUCCAGCUGGCUCAGGAGGAAGAGAGACGUGGGAGACUGAGGGUUCCCAGGCUAGGCCAGAAUACUGUAGCACCUUUCACUACAUUUACAUUUACGGAGCAGAGGGAAGAGUAAUAUGAAGCUCUUCAGAGGAUAUUGUGGUGAGACAGAAACUCCUUCACCUACCAACUCCUUACAAAGCAGCCGCACUGACCACAUGCAGGCAACUUUAAAAGAGAAGAUGCUGGCUGGAUGUAUCCGUCACAGGAAGAGACAGAGGAAUCAGGCUCCCUGCCACCAACCUCGAACUUCAGCAAGCGGGAUGUGGGAAAAACCAAAUGCCAGCUGCAGCCAAGUUAAACUGCAAAAGACCUUCAUUCCUGAGCAAUUUUUAAUUAAAUGCUGGAUAGAGCCUGCCAGAUUCCAUUGAAAAUGACUGUGUCAACUGGUUUUAAAUAACAGUAUUUCAUAUUUAUGUUUUUAUGUUACUUUCCAUUGUUUGUUGAUUUCCCUUUAGACACUUGGAAAUUUCAGUCUUUGACCCAGCGAUGUUUUGUUCCUUCUUAUUUGGCAGACAGAUAUGUAGUUAUUGUAUCAGUCCAACUUGAAACAAAAUGGCUGUUUGGUAACCUGCUAGUGAACUGCUGCUGUAGGGUCAGCAGGGGGAGCUCAUAACUAGACUUUUUAUAGGUCCUGCAGAAACCCUGCUUGUUUCUGUUAAUGGUUGUUCAGUGCAUCUCCACUUGAUAUUGCCUGCUGGAUUACUAUGGGUCCUACUGCACUUCAUAUGAAACAGCUUGAGCCUAUUUGAAAUGAACUCCUCAUGCAUUUUUUACCUUUACUCUUUGCUAAAUCACCUGCUAAUUGUGCAGCUUCCAGUGUGCAGCAUUUUCCACUGUGUCCAAAAUAUCUUUUUGUAAUUCCAUGUCAUCUAAUGAGCCAGGAAAUAAAACUCCAUCCUCUCCCAGCACUUCUUGGGUGUCAUACCCUUAUUAUGCACUGUCAGAAGAGCUAGGCAGACAAGUUUCUUUGGGUGAAUCUGAUAUCUUUUAUUAGAUCAAGUUGGCUGCAUCUAGAUGAGUGCAUACGUGUGGUUUGCAGCACCACAGACCUGUCUGUGGCACCACAAAUCACACAUGACACACAUGCAGGUGUUCACUGCCCUGCUAAUUUGCAGCACGACAGGUUUUUUUGACACUGGGAGAUCCCAGUGUCAAAAAACCUGUGCCAGAAAAAAGCAGGCUGGUGCAGCAGUGUGUGCCAUCUGAAAUUGGAGCUUGGCCAGCUAGAGCCAUGCUCCGGCUGCUGGCCAGGCUCCAUGCAUCUAGAUCACUGCUGCUGGAACCCCAGGAGGCCCCCAGGACCCCAUGUAAGGCUGCUGGGGCCAGCCCUGGUGCUGGCCCCAGCCUACCCUGCCCCAUCUGGGGUAACUUGCCAUGGCCCAGAGUGCCCAUGAAGGGGUGUUCCCCAGGGACAACUAGCAGUGGCAUAAAUAUGUGCCACUGCUAGUUGUCCCCAGGGAAUGCAUGUUCCCACUUGUGGGGACACGCCCAUAGUGCCCAUCUGGUUCCUGCUUACAGAAGAACUUGAGCAAUAAUAUCAGAGAUAAGAGCCGGUCCUCACUGCCUUCCUUCCUCCAGUAUACUUAAUCUUAACCUUUAACUCUAAAAUGCUGUCUCCAAUAAACAUUUACCCCCUUAUUUAUGUGAACUAAGCAAUUUUUGAGUAGGCAAAGGUACCAUGAUCUGCCUGAGUCAGGCAUAGUAGGGAGAGAGGCACUGUACUUAGCAGCCUUACUCCUGUCCAGAG